AGCUACUGCUAUCGGAAUUCGAUUAAGCCAUGCGAGUCGAGAGGGUUCGGCCCUCGGCUGACGGCUCAGUAACACGUGGAUAACCUGCCCUCAGGUAGGGGAUAAUCUCGGGAAACUGAGGAUAAUACCCUAUAAGCAUCCUCUGCUGGAAUGCUUGGAUGUUCAAAGGCAACGCCUGAGGAUGGGUCUGCGGCCUAUCAGGUUGUAGUGGGUGUAACGGACCCACUAGCCCGCGACGGGUACGGGCCUUGAAAGAGGUAGCCCGGAGAUGGACUCUGAGACACGAGUCCAGGCCCUACGGGGCGCAGCAGGCGCGAAAACUUCGCAAUGCGGGAAACCGUGACGAGGGAAUUCCGAGUGCUCAUACAAUGUAUGGGCUUUUCUUAUGUGUAAAAAGCAUGAGGAAUAAGGGCUGGGUAAGACCGGUGCCAGCCGCCGCGGUAAUACCGGCAGCUCUAGUGGUAGCCACUUUUAUUGGGCCUAAAGCGUCCGUAGCCGGUCAGGUAAAUCCUUGGGUAAAUCGUACAGCUUAACUGUGCGGCUUCCGGGGAGACUGCUUGACUUGGGACCGGGAGAGGUUGGAGGUACUCCUGGGGUAGGGGUGAAAUCCUGUAAUCCUAGGUGGACCACCGGUGGCGAAGGCGUCCAACCAGAACGGCUCCGACGGUGAGGGACGAAGGCUAGGGGCGCAAACCGGAUUAGAUACCCGGGUAGUCCUAGCUGUAAACGCUGCAGACUUGGUGUUGGAGAUCCCACGAGGGUGUCCAGUGCCGGAGAGAAGUUGUUAAGUUUGCCGCCUGGGAAGUAUGGCCGCAAGGCUGAAACUUAAAGGAAUUGGCGGGGGAGCACCGCAACGGGAGGAGCGUGCGGUUU
rnacentral:rRNA from 1 species